CACAUCAUCCUUCUUUAAAGAAAGAUGACAGAUACGGACCAAACGCCCAUUUACUAUGAAAUGGAUGGUGUUCAAGUUGUUAUGAAUAACCAAAAUUUAGGCACCGGUAAAAUUCUUAUGGAUAAUGUUCGUUUCAAGUGGACAUCGAGCGAUAGUUCGCAGACUAUUGAAAAAAAUUAUUCUUCAAUCAUUUUGUACGCAAUUUGCCAAAAAAAUCCGGGUUUUCAUCUCUACACCCAGUUUGAGACAGACGCCGAAUCCUCUGAUCAAGAGGAUAUACUGGAAAUCAAGUGGAUUCCUCCUACGGAACAGGACGUGAGGGACAUGUCUACCUUGUUGUACAAAAGUGAAUGCUUUAAAUCAAACGCAGAAGAAGAAGAGGAGGAGCCAGACAUGAAUGCAUAUUGGGUAGACUCUGACAACAAAGAGGAAGGUGAGUGUUUAGAAGAGACAAAACCAAAUGGCGUAAAUUCUCAGAACUAAGAAAUACUAAUAUUUCGGGCGAGUUGCAGAUAUAGAAAAAUAUCAAUCAAGGUAAUUAAUAUGCCUAAAAUGAAUAAGUACUAUAUUUUUUAAUGUAUCCAUCAAAUGCGAUAAAUAAAGUUGCACCAGUCAUUUCGUUUUGGUCUCUGAGGAUA